UACAGAGGGUGCGAGCGUUAAUCGGAGUUACUGGGCGUAAAGGGCGCGUAGGCGGUUAGGUGAGUGUGAUGUGAAAGCCCCGGGCUUAACCUGGGAAGUGCAUCGCAAACGACCUGACUGGAGUAUAUGAGAGGGUAGCGGAAUUUCCGGUGUAGCGGUGAAAUGCGUAGAUAUCGGAAGGAACGUCAAUGGCGAAGGCAGCUACCUGGCAUAAUACUGACGCUGAGGCGCGAAAGCGUGGGGAUCGAACAGG
rnacentral:rRNA from 1 species